rnacentral:rRNA from 1 species
UACAGAGGAGCCAAGCGUUGUCCGGAUUGACUGGGCGUAAAGCGCACGCAGGCGGAUGCGCGCGUGGGGUGUGAAAUCUGGCCGCUUAACGGCCAGGCGCCAUCCCAUACGGCGCGUCUGGAGUGAUGCAGAGGUCGAUGGAAUUGCCGGUGUAGUGGUGAAAUGCGUAGAGAUCGGCAGGAACACCCAGGGGGAAACCAGCCGACUGGGCAAGUGCUGACGCUGAGGUGCGAGAGCGUGGGGAGCGAACAGG